GUUCACGCGAAUAACAAUCACACAGUAUGAACUAUCAAAGAGAAUCCAGAUGAGUCGCCGAUGCCCGUGAGAUAUUUGACAUGCUAAAUAUCUGGAGCUGUCGGCUCGAGGUCUGAUUAAAAAUAUCAUUGGCAAUCACCUACAGCCAAUGAGAGAGCAGCAUUCACUACUGUGGGUUCCUGCAAGCCAGUGGGAGGCUGGGGGAAAAGUUAAAAGCGCUCCUUUUCAGUUUAUUUGGACCCAAGAAUUUGAGGAAAAACUACUGGACAUUUGCCAGGAGCACCUGUGUCUGUUUGACAUGUCAUCUGAGCAAUACGCACAACCGGGUCGAGGAAUAAAACAAGUUUAAGAGAAAUUGCUCUCUUCAAAGCCAGCAUCACAAGAGGAUAUGAGGACGUGGCAAAAAAUUGGACGAUUAUUACAAAUCUGCUACCGUGGUCAAUAACAGUCAGUCAUCUGUCAGACAGAAUUCAAGACUCUUUCUUGGGGUCAACUGGCAGAACAAUAUAAGAAUUGUCUCCAGUGCAAAUGAUCCUUUGUCAUCCCACUCCCUGAGAACAGCCAGUGUAGCAGGUCUGCAUAUUCUGUAAAGAGGCUGGAUUCUGAGAGCGAGAUCCUGUGACCAUCAAAGCUGAAGUGAAGAAUUUGGUCUGUGUAAGUUUGAAAAGUGACAGAAUGUGUGUCUCU